CUAAUGGUUCCUAGUGUUUGCCCACUCUGGGAAACACUAGGAAACAUUGGUAGGAAACAAUGUUUCCACAACAAUGUUUCCUAGUUUGCCCAGGGCUUGACCGGCAGACAUGCUGAAACUCUUGAAAGAACUUUGCUUUGAACUUGCUGGGUUGAUGCGAACAGCUCGUUUUUAUUAUUGACCGGUCAAUAAUUGUUUCAUUGUUAGUGAACACGUGAUAUGGGUUUGACCAAUCGGCAAACAGGAAAAUAGAAAUUAAUUUUCCUUGGGAGCCGUACAGACGAACCAUUUUUCCUUGUCCAAAAACUGGCAUGAUAGCUUUGGAACAGGGCUCUUCGGCAAGGAAAAAUUGUCAAUUUUUUCUCGUACACACGAGCAAAUAUAUAAAACUUGUCGAGGAAACAAGAAGAGCCAACAACUAGAACCGUUUGAAAUAUUUAGUUAAUAAAUUAAAUUCUAAUUAAUAAUUUAAGCAGUGAUAAAUAAAAGUAAAUUAUGUAACUGUAAUUUAACUUAAAAAUAGACGAUAAAUAAUUUAGCUAGCCAAAUGAGGUAUGUGUAAAAGGUUUUGUAAAUUUGUCAAACUUUAUAAUAAAUUU